rnacentral:rRNA from 1 species
AUUGAACGCUGGCGGCAGGCCUAACACAUGCAAGUCGAGCGGAUGAAGGGAGCUUGCUCCUGGAUUCAGCGGCGGACGGGUGAGUAAUGCCUAGGAAUCUGCCUGGUAGUGGGGGAUAACGUCCGGAAACGGGCGCUAAUACCGCAGACGUCCUGAGGGAGAAAGUGGGGGAUCUUCGGACCUCACGCUAUCAGAUGAGCCUAGGUCGGAUUAGCUAGUUGGUGGGGUAAAGGCCUACCAAGGCGACGAUCCGUAACUGGUCUGAGAGGAUGAUCAGUCACACUGGAACGUAGACACGGUCCAGGCUCCUGAGGGAGGCAGCAGUGGGGAAUAGUGGACAGUGGGCGGAAGCCUGAUCCAGCCAUGCCACGUGUGUGAAGAAGGUCUUCGGAUUGUAAAGCACUUUAAGUUGGGAGGAAGGGCAGUAGGUUAAUACCUUGCUGUUUUGACGUUACCAACAGAAUAAGCACCGGCUAACUUCGUG